AUUGAACGCUGGCGGAAUGCUUUACACAUGCAAGUCGAACGGCAGCACGGACUUCGGUCUGGUGGCGAGUGGCGAACGGGUGAGUAAUGUAGCGGAACGUGCCCAGUCGUGGGGGAUAACGAAGUGAAAAUUACGCUAAUACCGCAUACGAUCUAUGGAUGAAAGCGGGGGAUCGCAAGACCUCGCGCGAUUGGAGCGGCCGAUAUCCGAUUAGGUAGUUGGUGGGGUAAAGGCCCACCAAGCCAACGAUCUGUAGCUGGUCUGAGAGGACGACCAGCCACACUGGAACUGAGACACGGUCCAUACUCCUACGGGAGGCAGCAGUGGGGAAUUUUGGACAAUGGGCGAAAGCCUGAUCCAGCCAUUCCGCGUGCAGGAUGAAGGCCCUCGGGUUGUAAACUGCUUUUGUACAGAACGAAAAUGUUUCUACUAAUACUAGGAGCUCAUGACGGUACUGUAAGAAUAAGCACCGGCUAACUACGUGCCAGCCGCCGCCGUAA
rnacentral:rRNA from 1 species